GAUGAACGCUAGCUACAGGCUUAACACAUGCAAGUCGCGGGGCAGCAUGGGGGUUGCUUGCAAUCCCCGAUGGCGACCGGCGCACGGGUGAGUAACGCGCAUCCAACCUGCCCUUCACCACGGGAUAACCCGGCGAAAGUCGGACUAAUACCGUAUGUUGUCCAUUGACGGCAUCCGAUUUGGACGAAAGGUUUGGCGGUGAAGGAUGGGGAUGCGUCCGAUUAGCUGGACGGCGGGGUGACGGCCCACCGUGGCGACGAUCGGUAGGGGUUCUGAGAGGAAGGUCCCCCACACUGGAACUGAGACACGGUCCAGACUCCUACGGGAGGCAGCAGUGAGGAAUAUUGGUCAAUGGGCGUAAGCCUGAACCAGCCAAGUAGCGUGCAGGAUGACGGCCCUAUGGGUUGUAAACUGCUUUUAUGCGGGGAUAAAGUGGCCCACGUGUGGGUUUUUGCAGGUACCGCAUGAAUAAGGACCGGCUAAUUCCGUG
rnacentral:rRNA from 1 species